UGCGCGAGUACUACGAGAGAGAAAAGAACCCUAUCCUACCUGGGCUGCCGCCUGCCUGCCGCUGCACGCUCGCCGCCGGCCGCCGUGCCCUGCCGCGGCGACCCAUUAUUCAUUCAUUCGCCAUGCCCAGCCGGCCAGCCCCGUGCGGCAGAGGGCAGUCCAGUCCAAUUCCGCCACAGCAGCUCGCACGCAAAGCAAAGGUGUCCCUGCUGCUCAUCUCAAUCCCGCUAGCAAAUGCCACUGUUUGGAAGGCGAAAUGAAUAAGAGAAACAAGACAAUGAUUUUCUGUUUUUGAAGUUCAGACCUCGGGAGCCACGGCCCACGGGAACAGACUUACCUUCUUCUACUAUUGAAGAUGUAGAUCAGAUCAAUAAAUCAUUUGAUUUGGUACUAUCUUUUGUAUUAUUUAUGCUAUAUAUCAUUUUUGAUAUGUGUUAAUUUAUGAGUUGAACCAUCAUUGAACAAAUACUGCCAUCGAAUAUUGUGUUUCGGAUCUGGUUAGUUAUGCAACAUAGUUUGACU